CUCUUUGUAGCUCAGUCGGUAGAGCAGUUGACUCUUAAUCAACGGGUCGGGGGUUCGAAUCCCCCCGAGGAGA
rnacentral:tRNA from 1 species